GCCUAACACAUGCAAGUCGAGCGGUAGCACAGAGAGCUUGCUCUCGGGUGACGAGCGGCGGACGGGUGAGUAAUGUCUGGGAAACUGCCUGAUGGAGGGGGAUAACUACUGGAAACGGUAGCUAAUACCGCAUAACGUCGCAAGACCAAAGUGGGGGACCUUCGGGCCUCAUGCCAUCAGAUGUGCCCAGAUGGGAUUAGCUAGUAGGUGGGGUAACGGCUCACCUAGGCGACGAUCCCUAGCUGGUCUGAGAGGAUGACCAGCCACACUGGAACUGAGACACGGUCCAGACUCCUACGGGAGGCAGCAGUGGGGAAUAUUGCACAAUGGGCGCAAGCCUGAUGCAGCCAUGCCGCGUGUGUGAAGAAGGCCUUCGGGUUGUAAAGCACUUUCAGCGGGGAGGAAGGCGGUGAGGUUAAUAACCUCAUCGAUUGACGUUACCCGCAGAAGAAGCACCGGCUAACUCCGUGCCAGCAGCCGCGGUAAUACGGAGGGUGCAAGCGUUAAUCGGAAUUACUGGGCGUAAAGCGCACGCAGGCGGUCUGUCAAGUCGGAUGUGAAAUCCCCGGGCUCAACCUGGGAACUGCAUUCGAAACUGGCAGGCUAGAGUCUUGUAGAGGGGGGUAGAAUUCCAGGUGUAGCGGUGAAAUGCGUAGAGAUCUGGAGGAAUACCGGUGGCGAAGGCGGCCCCCUGGACAAAGACUGACGCUCAGGUGCGAAAGCGUGGGGAGCAAACAGGAUUAGAUACCCCUGGUAGUCCACGCCGUAAACGAUGUCGAUUUGGAGGUUGUGCCCUUGAGGCGUGGCUUCCGGAGCUAACGCGUUAAAUCGACCGCCUGGGGAGUACGGCCGCAAGGUUAAAACUCAAAUGAAUUGACGGGGGCCCGCACAAGCGGUGGAGCAUGUGGUUUAAUUCGAUGCAACGCGAAGAACCUUACCUGGUCUUGACAUCCACAGAACUUUCCAGAGAUGGAUUGGUGCCUUCGGGAACUGUGAGACAGGCGCUGCAUGGCUGUCGUCAGCUCGUGUUGUGAAAUGUUGGGUUAAGUCCCGCAACGAGCGCAACCCUUAUCCUUUGUUGCCAGCGGUUAGGCCGGGAACUCAAAGGAGACUGCCAGUGAUAAACUGGAGGAAGGUGGGGAUGACGUCAAGUCAUCAUGGCCCUUACGACCAGGGCUACACACGUGCUACAAUGGCAUAUACAAAGAGAAGCGACCUCGCGAGAGCAAGCGGACCUCAUAAAGUAUGUCGUAGUCCGGAUUGGAGUCUGCAACUCGACUCCAUGAAGUCGGAAUCGCUAGUAAUCGUAGAUCAGAAUGCUACGGUGAAUACGUUCCCGGGCCUUGUACACACCGCCCGUCACACCAUGGGAGUGGGUUGCAAAAGAAGUAGGUAGCUUAACAAUCGGGAGGGCGCUUACCACUUUGUGAUUCAUGACUGG
rnacentral:rRNA from 1 species